rnacentral:rRNA from 1 species
CCUACGGGAGGCAGCAGUAGGGAAUCUUCCACAAUGGGCGAAAGCCUGACGGAGCAACGCCGCGUGGGUGAUGAAGGUCUUCGGAUCGUAAAACUCUGUUGUUAGAGAAGAAAGUGCGUGAGAGUAACUGUUCACGUUUCGACGGUACCUAACCAGAAAGCCACGGCUAACUACGUGCCAGCAGCCGCGGUAAUACGUAGGUGGCAAGCGUUAUCCGGAUUUAUUGGGCGUAAAGGGCACGCAGGCGGUCUUUUAAGUCUGAUGUGAAAGCCCACGGCUUAACCGGGGAAGUGCAUUGGAAACUGGGAGACUUGAGUGCAGAAGAGGAGAGUGGAACUCCAUGUGUAGCGGUGAAAUGCGUAGAGAUAUGGAGGAACACCAGUGGCGAAGGCGACUCUCUGGUCUGUAACUGACGCUGAGGUUCGAAAGCGUGGGUAGCAAACAGGAUUAGAUACCCCUGUAGUC